rnacentral:rRNA from 1 species
GACAGAGGAUGCAAGCGUUAUCCGGAAUGAUUGGGCGUAAAGCGUCUGUAGGUGGCUUUCUAAGUCUGCCGUUAAAUCCCAGAGCUUAACUCUGGUCAAGCGGUAGAAACUAGCAAGCUAGAGUACGGUAGGGGCAGGAGGGAAUUUCCGGUGGAGCGGUGAAAUGACGCAGAUAUCAGGAGGAACACCGGUGGCGAAGGCGGGUCUCUGGGCCGAUACUGACGCUGAGGAGCGAAAGCGUGGGGAGCAAACAGG